rnacentral:lncRNA from 1 species
CCCUCCUAGAGUGGGAGAGGUUCGUAGGCCAAGACAUGAGAGGGGUCUGGGUUGUACUUGCAUAGCAUGGACACAUGAAACACAUAGUGGACCUUGGAAAGCUCUAGAGUUAGUGCUAGUCUGUAGGUGAUGGUACCAAUCUUGUCUAAGACUUCGAAAUUACCAAUAAAUCGGGGGUUCAGUUUUUCCCUCCUGCCGAACUUACUAAUUCCGUUGAAAGGAGUGACCUUAAGGAACACCCGGUUGCCUUUUUCAAACGCUAAAUCUCUCUUCCGGGUAUCCGCAUAACUCUUCUAUCUGCUCUGAGUCGUCUGAAUGUUCCUCCUGAUCUUAACU